rnacentral:tRNA from 1 species
ACGAAAGAUUGACGAUUGGUAAGAAUCCACAACAAGUUGUUCUUCAUAGAUGUAUCUGAGGGUCUGUAGCUCAGUUGGUUAGAGCACACGCUUGAUAAGCGUGGGGUCACAAGUUCAAGUCUUGUCAGACCCACCAUGACUUUGACUGGUUGAAGUUAUAGAUAAAAGAUACAUGACUGAUGAUGUAAGCUGGGGACUUAGCUUAGUUGGUAGAGCGCCUGCUUUGCACGCAGGAGGUCAGGAGUUCGACUCUCCUAGUCUCCACCAGAACUUAAGAGAAGUUCGGAUUACAGAAAUUAGUAAAUAGAGAUUUAGAUCUUGGUUUAUUAACUUCUGUGAUUUAAGUAUCACGGUAUUAAGCAUGACCUGACGAAGGCGUGUUUAUUCAUUAACAGAUUGGCAAAAUUGAGUCUGAAAUAAAUUGUUCACUCAAGAGUUUAGGUUAAGCAAUUAAUCUAGAUGAAUUGAGAACUAGCAAAUUAACUGAAUCAAGCGUUUUGGUAUAUGAAUUUAGAUUGAAGCUGUACAGUGUUUAAGUACACAGACAACAGAUAGUAGUGAUGAAGAAUCGCACGGACAACACUCACUUGUAGGUGUUGACGACUGUUUGGGGUUGUAU